GAUGAACGCUGGCGGCGUGCUUAACACAUGCAAGUCGAACGGAAAGGCUCCUGCUUGCAGGGGUACUCGAGUGGCGAACGGGUGAGUAACACGUGGGUGAUCUGCCCUGCACUUCGGGAUAAGCCUGGGAAACUGGGUCUAAUACCGGAUAGGACCACAUUUUGGAUGGUGUGGUGGAAAGUUUUUCGGUGUGGGAUGAGCUCGCGGCCUAUCAGCUUGUUGGUGGGGUAAUGGCCUACCAAGGCGUCGACGGGUAGCCGGCCUGAGAGGGUGUACGGCCACAUUGGGACUGAGAUACGGCCCAGACUCCUAAGGGAGGCAGCAGUGGGGAAUAUUGCACAAUGGGCGCAAGCCUGAUGCAGCGACGCCGCGUGGGGGAUGACGGCCUUCGGGUUGUAAACUCCUUUCGCUAGGGACGAAGCGCAAGUGACGGUACCUGGAGAAGAAGCACCGGCUAACUACGUG
rnacentral:rRNA from 1 species